rnacentral:snoRNA from 1 species
CUGCACUGUUUGUAACCUGUUACCAGACUCCACUGCUGACGGGUUCCAUUCCAGUGCCACAGAAAUUCCCAGAAUAACAAAAGACUGACAAAACUGUCUGUCUGAUUUUAUAUUUGGGAGACAAGU